rnacentral:rRNA from 1 species
AUUGAACGCUGGCGGAAUGCUUUACACAUGCAAGUCGAACGGCAGCACGGGGGCAGCCCUGGUGGCGAGUGGCGAACGGGUGAGUAAUACAUCGGAACGUGCCCGGUCGUGGGGGAUAACGUAGCGAAAGUUACGCUAAUACCGCAUACGAUCUGAGGAUGAAAGCGGGGGACCUUCGGGCCUCGCGCGAUCGGAGCGGCCGAUGUCAGAUUAGGUAGUUGGUGGGGUAAAGGCCUACCAAGCCGACGAUCUGAAGCUGGUCUGAGAGGACGACCAGCCACACUGGGACUGAGACACGGCCCAGACUCCUACGGGAGGCAGCAGUGGGGAAUUUUGGACAAUGGGCGCAAGCCUGAUCCAGCCAUUCCGCGUGCAGGACGAAGGCCUUCGGGUUGUAAACUGCUUUUGUACGGAACGAAAAGGCUCUGGCUAAUACCUGGGGCUCAUGACGGUACCGUAAGAAUAAGCACCGGCUAACUACGUG